rnacentral:rRNA from 1 species
CCUACGGGAGGCAGCAGUGAGGAAUAUUGGUCAAUGGACGCAAGUCUGAACCAGCCAAGCAGCGUGAAGGAUGACUGCUCUAUGAGUUGUAAACUGCUUUUAUAAAAGGAUAAAACGAGGCACGUGUUCCUUUUUGCAAGUACUUUAUGAAUAAGGAUCGGCUAACUCCGUGCCAGCAGCCGCGGUAAUACGGAGGAUCCGAGCGUUAUCCGGAUUUAUUGGGUUUAAAGGGAGCGUAGAUGGGUUGUUAAGUUAGUGGUGAAAUUUUGAGGCUCAACCUUAGAAUUACCAUUGAUACUGUCAGUCUUGAGAAUAGUUGAGGUAGGCGGAAUGUGUGGUGUAGCGGUGAAAUGCUUAGAUAUCACGCAGAACACCGAUUGCGAAGGCAGCUUACUAAGCUGUUACUGACAUUGAUGCACGAAAGUGUGGGUAUCAAACAGGAUUAGAUACCCGAGUAGUC